GACGGACCACACAAACGUUAUUCGGAAUCACUGGGCGUAAAGCGUGCGUAGGCUGUUCUGCAAGUCAGGAGUGAAAGCCCAAGGCUCAACCUUGGAAGCGCUCUUGAAACUGCAGGACUAGAAUUUGGGAGAGGAUAGCGGAAUUGUCAGUGUAGCAGUGAAAUGCGUAGAUAUUGACAGGAACACCAGUGGCGCAAGCGGCUAUCUGGACCAACAUUGACGCUGAGGCACGAAAGCGUGGGGAUCAAACAGG
rnacentral:rRNA from 1 species